AUUAAAAUAGCUUAAAUUUAAAGCAUAACAUUGAAGUUGUUAAUAUGAGACUAAUAUCUCUUUUGAUA